AUGUAUUGGAUCAAAUAAUUUGGGUUUGGGCCGCGGGUUCAUGCAGCCCAAUAAGCCCAGCUCUUGCCUUGUUCUCUUCUUGGUUAAUUCUAAGUGUGUCAUUUGCCCUAAGUAUAUAAGCUCUCUUUGGGCAAUAGAACCGUCACUUCUUGCAAACCCAUUUUGUUCACAUUGUUACGCAAAAACAAAUCUAAGAAUCGAGAAAGAACAGAUCUAAUAAGCAAUAUCGGAAGAAGAACUUGAAGAUCACACAGGUAGGAAACACAAGUUCACAGAUUUCUCAAUAAGUGGUAUCAGAGCCACUCGAGGGCGAACCAGAUCCAUCAGCGAUCUGAUCCGAGAACUUGAUCUUGAAGGCGAUCGGUAAGAUCUGAAAGGUCGCGUAGUUUAAGGAAGAUCAGAGGUUGUAAUCGGCCUCUGAUUCUGUAAGUAUUUGGUAUCCUUUGAUUUCUUUGUUCGAUAAGAUAUCUUGGAUUGAUUUUUUAUGAUAUCCUUUUUUUCUUGCUGUUCUUGUUGAUUUUGUUUAUGAGAUUUGUUCAUUGCUAUUGAUUUCUUGCUAUUCUUGAACAUAGUUAGGAUUGUAGCGAGCAGGUUUAUUUUGUCGUAAUCUUUAUUGUGUUCUUGAAUUUUUUUUAAAAUCAAGAUAGGAUUUGGAGAGACAGUUCUGUAGUUUCUAGACUGGGUUAUUUCUUUCAAUCAUUUACUGUUGCUACUGUUUUCUGUUUACUGUCGUUUCUGUUUACUUCCUGUUGCAAGUGUAUAUCACUUGAUUGUUUCUAAGAAAUUAGUUAGGUUGAUUGUAUUGCUUAGUGUUCUUUGAAGCGUUGCAAUCUGAUCCCUAUACUGUUCUUGUGGUUGUGAUUUUUUCCUUGUUGUCUGUGUUCUAUGUACACUGUUCAUCCUGUGUUAUUCUUGUUCCAUUUUGUGUUGUUGUUGGUCUUUUGUUUUCUUUGCAAGAACAUAACCAAAGAUGGCACCUAUGAAGAUGGAACUUGAAAAGUUCGAUGGUCACAGUGACUUUGGGCUGUGGUAACAGAAAAUGAAGGCCAUUUUGGUCCAAAAUCGAUGCUUAAAGGCACUGGUUGUGCCAAAGGAUGGAAAGGAUAAGGAGGUUACACAACCCUCCAUGGAAAGCCGGGAAAUGGAUAAAUUGGCUUAUAGCCUUAUCAUCCUAAACCUAGCUAACAAGGUAUUAUGACAGGUAAAUGGUAUGAACAUUACUGCAAAGGUAUGGUCAAAACUUGAGUCCUUUUACAUGGUAAAAUCUUUGACUAACAAAAUUCAUUUGAAAAGAAGAUUGUUUGGUUUUAAAAUGGACUCCUCAAAGUCUUUAGAAGAAAAUUUAUAUGACUUUAAUGUAAUUACCAUAGGUCUGGCUAACAUAGAUGAGGUAAUAUCAGAUGAAAAUCAAGCAAUUAUUCUGUUGAAUUUUAGAGAUUUAAGAACUACAAUAGAAUAUGGUAGAACUUCUUUAACUCUAGAAGAUGUCUUAUCAGCCCUAAGAUCAAGAGACCUUGAAACUAAGAGUGAACAAAAAUCUAGUUUUGUUGAAGGUCUAUAUGUCAAGGAUAAGUCAAAUAAGAAAUCUUAUUCUAGAGGUAAGGGUGAGUCUAAGUCUAAGGGUAAAGAGAAUUCAAAACUGGUGACCUGUUGGUUUUGUAAGAAAGAAGGUCAUCUUAGGAGAAACUAUCCUUCAAGGCAGAAAGAGUGUAAAGAAGAAAUAGCAAAUCUUUCAAAGGGAUGUGAGAGUCGGGACGGGCAGUUUAUCUUUGGACUCUAGGCAUGAAAAGGCUAGGGCACAUUGGUCAUAAGAGGACAGUUAGAGUAAAGCAUGUUAGGUAAGAUUGGAUUCGAUUAGGUUAGUAACCUAGAGAGUUUUAUGAAUCCUGUGCUAUGGGUUGUAGGUUCCCAUAGAUGCCUACGUUAUGAGUGAUUUCCAUGGGUUAUAGGUUGUUUUCUCUGUCUUUUGGGGUUUGUUCCCAUGUCCCUAUUUUCUGUCUAGGGCCUAAUAAUUUUCUUUCCUUUGUUGAUAAAUAUACUGUAAAGAUUUUGGGAAUUCUUUCUUAGGUGUAAAAGUGAAUCUUUUGAGAAGUUUGAGUGGAAAAUCUUUGAAUAUUGAACAAGAAGAAAAUUAAGUUUAAAGAUCUGAUAUAGGUCUAGAUGUUGGUGUGCCUAGUCUUGUAGAAUUAGAUGAACCUGAACAAAUUGAUAAUGUAGAGUUUGAGGUGAAAAUUUGUCAAUCUUAAGGAGAAAUCUUAGGAAAUUUUCGAGUCUAAUGCAAGUCCUAGUGUUAGUCCUGAUGCUUUGUUCAUAGAAAUCUUAAUAGAGGUUUUUGUUGUCCAUGGUGAGACAUGUAUCAGUCGAGUCUGUCUCGAGUCAAAAGUUUGAGCAAGCGUUGUCGUUGCUCAAUAUGCUCACGUUGUAGUUGGGAGAGCUGCAAGGGUCUCUGGUCAAGUCCACUAUUUAAUUCAUUAUUGAGUUAAGGUGAAAUUUGUGACUCAAAAUGUAUUGGGUCAAAUAAUUUGGGUUUGGGCCGCGGGUUUAUGCAGCCCAAUAAGCUCAGCUCUUGCCUUGUUCUCUUCUUGGUUAAUUCCAGCCGUGUCCUUUGCCCUAAGUAUAUAAGCUCUCUUUGGGCAAUAGAACCAUCACUUCUUACAAACCCAUUUUGUUCACACUGUUACACACAAACAUAUUUGAGAAACGAGAUAGAACAGAUCCAAGAAGCAAUAUCGGAAGAAAAACUUGAAGAUCGCAAAGGUAGGAAACGCAAGGUAAAAUCCAUUCUUAUUCCCUGUGUGUGUAUCUCAUGUUUACUGAUUUGCUUGGGAAAGAGAAUGGUGAGUUUAUGAGUGUUGGGAUUGCUCGAAUUUUAUGGAACAAUGUAUUUUGAUUUUUGCGUUUGUAGAGUUUACGCAUUUUGAUCUUGAUGUAUUGUUCUAGUUUUCCCAUAGGAGCUUGAGAGAGGUUUUUGUGUUUCUCGGAGUAAUCAAUUCUUUAAAUCUCUUAUAUAUAUAUUUCUAGUGGAUUGAAUAGAGGCAGAGUCUCUGUCGUGAAUAGGAUCUUUUGAUCUGAAUACAUUUAUGCUGCGUUCUUUAUUUUUUGUUGUGUGCGUGGUGUAGUGGUGUUGCAUUUAUUUUCAAUUUUGUCAGCUAUUCGUUUUGAAUCUUGAUAUUGUCGAAUCUGAUUGUGUGUUUAGUUCACAGAUUUCUCAACAUAUAUAUAUAUAUAUAUAAUUUUGCUUUGUUUUCUUGGAGGCCAUUAUUUUUGUCAGCUAUAUGUUGGGGACCGGUAGAAGUUGAAUUGAUUUUAUGGUUAUCAAUAUUGUUGUCUUGUUGAUAUUUGUGGACUUGAAAUUAUAUGCUUUCUUAUGAUUUUUGUUUUCCGUUUUAUUUCUUGUCUACCUAUCCAGGUCCUAUUUCUUGGAUUAAAAAUCAGUCUGUCCACAUCAGGACUACAUGCAUGAUCAGCUUUUGAUUUUUCUGUACGGAUAUAUUGCUCAUAACUAUGUUCUAAAUGAAUAUUAUUCAUAUUUUGAUAAGAUGUUACCAUAAAAUAAUAUGUGACAUACCGUGAGUUAAAAAAAAAAAAAAAAACUUCAAUCAUCUAUUUAUUAUGGAGGAGACUAUUUUUGAG